GGCCCAGGGCGCAGCACCCUCGCGGCCCAACACUCUAGCCCUUCAGACUCCGUAUGAGGCCCUUUCCCUGUGCAGCAAGAGAGGGAAUUAGAACAGCAAAGAAGACACUGGGGAUAACUGCCCAUCAUGGGCUCUCGGAGGCAGUGGUCAGCUGGAUGAGGGUGAUCUGGCCUUUCAGGGGCUGGCAGGACUAUUUUGGAAUCCAAGGGAUUCUUGCUGGGCGCCUCCCAGGGCCCUCCCUAUGGACACACGUGCAGAGCCUCAGUCACUGGGCAAGUCCCUUCUUGCUCUCCACGUCCUACCCCUGCCAGAGUACAGGCUAGUGGUCAUGUGGGAUUUAGGGGAUUUAGAUCCUGCCUGACGACCUGAUGGGCUCUGAAGGCCUCUGAGGAAGUUGCUCUCAUGGGAGGAGUGAAAGCUCUGAGAAGAGUGUCUGGGGUGGGACAGAGGUCAUAGCAGAUGGACACACAUAUACACCUGUGUCCCAACACCAAAGCGAUGAGGGGUUCCUAGCUGAGGACUCCACUUAGGCUCUACCUUCCUAUCAGCAUCCCUACCUGGCUCCUGGGCCCACAGCCAUACAGCUUCACCUGCUCUGGCACAUAACCCUGUCCUGGGACUGAGGACCACGGUCCUGUCCCUGUUCCUGUCCCUGACUGGCGGCUGGGUAUCGGCCCCUCAGUUUCCCUCUGCCUGAGUCGGGAAGAUGAUACCUGCCUGCCCUGCCACCUCCAGAGAUGGAGCAAGGCUCCCAGGGUGGCCCAGCCGGGGAAUGCUGCUUUAGCUUCUGCUGCUCUGUGUCAUCCUGAUAAAAGCCCUCUUCCUGUUCCCAGCCAGGGAGAGACAGGGGGAUGAGCCACUGGAAGUACCAGUCUGGUAAGGGAGGAGGUUUGGGGGAGGGCAGACCCUGUGAGUCCUGGCUUUCACACAGACAGCAACCUUACUUCUUACUGAGAAAGUGGAAGGAGCCUCACAGGCGGAGGCACCCUGGGGGCGGCAGGGGUGCACUGAGGCCCACCUGGUCCACAUCUGAUGUCUUGUCAUCCAGGCCACAGGCAAAGGGGUAGGGGCCAGGCUCCAAGUGCGUCCAGCCCUCGUUGGUGCAGCUCCGGCUCACGUUGCGGCCUGGGUGGAGGGCAGGAGUGGAGAGGAGAGAGGUUGAGGCUGGGGGCAGGGUGAGUCCGCAGGGUAGGCACGGCCCGGUUGUCUCUAAGCUCACCUCAUCCCUGCCAACCCCGGCUGCAUCAGGCUCCAGCCACCCUGCACUAGACCCAGGGCAUCACGAGGUGGGGAAACUCUCCCCAGGGCUGCCAGGGGCCCCUCCAACAUGAGCUACAGUCAGAGCAGGCCUUCUUGGGCUCAGCCCUGCCCCUUGUAAUAUCUGAAACUGACCCCUGGCGCAAGACAAAUAAUAAAGAGAUCCUCGUCACAGCCUGGAUUCUUGGCACAGAAUGACUCGCAGGACCCUUGUCAUGAGCUAAAUGUUCACCCUUGUCAUAAGGUCACAGGGGUCACUGGGGUGACAGAUGGUUUCAUUGUCCUGUGGGUACAGACAGCAGCCCUCUGGCUGGGCCAAGCGGCUCCUCCUGGGUCAGCCUGCCUGGGCCGACGGGCCUGCUUUCCCCCCACGUCUGGUGUGGCUCAGAUGUGCUGCUGGAGAGGCACCACAGCGCCUUCCUUACCAGCACCACAGCCAUAUUGUCACUGGUGUCACCAUCAUCCCACCAUCACGUGAGCACUGCCACCAGCAUCACUGUCACCACCAGCACCAGUAUCAUCAUUGUGACCAGCAUCACCACCACCAGCGCCAUCACGGUCACCACAACCACUGUUGUCACCAUGUCUGGCAUUGUCACUGUCACAAGCACCAGCAGCAGUGCCAUUGCCAUCAUCACCUCCAUCACCAUGACAAGUUUGGAGAGCCUUUGCAUGUCGAUCCCGUCCAGAGCGCUCGAGGCCCAGGAUCUUACUGGAUCCCCUCAACCCUCUGGUGCGGAAGGGAAUCCCACUUCAUACUUGAGAAGCCAGGCUCUGAGGGGCCAAGGCCACAUGGAGAGAUGUGGCUACGGCAGGUGUGAUCCCCAGAGCCUUCCCAGAGGCUAAGGCCACCAAGUACAGCCAUGCAGGUUGUUCACUGCACAAGGGCAUCUGGCUUAUAAAUGGUGGGAGCUGCAAUCUACCUCAUAUCCAACUUGUCAUUAGCAGGGACAGAAGGAAAAGCCGUCAGGAGGAAUGCAAUUAGCAGAGUGUCAGGGAGGAACACGAGUAGCAGGCACUUCCAGGGAUCCGAGAGAAGGCUGGUUGCCAGGCUCUGCUGAUUGGACACGUGAGAGCUGCUGGAAGAGUUCAUCGCCUACCUGCCCAGGAAGCCCCCCACUGACUGCUCGAGCCCCUUUGACCACUGUCCUUCGCCUUCUCACUUCCUGGACAGAUGAGUUACUGAGGCAUGGAGCAAUUAGGUAACUACCCCAAGGUCACAUCACUGGCUGGAGCUCUCCCACACCCCCUCAGGACUACGAGCAGGGCCCCCAGCUGCUCAGCCUCUAAGUUUGAUGGUGACUCGUCUCAUCAGCUGGACAAUAAAUGAGCUGAUGGUUCAUCUGGCCUGCUGAAGGUUGGUCGCCUGGCCGCCCUGGGGGACAGAGACAGGGAGGGGCCCCAUCAUUCUUCAUCCUCAUCAGCAGUCUACCUCUCAUCCACAGACCCCAGAAGCGUGAGACCAACAAGGCCUAGCCUUUUGACUGACUCAAGUUCCAGAUGGAACCCCAAUCCCAGCUGCAGACUAAAACCCGAUCCUGACCUGGAUCGGACCCAGAACUCUUAUCCACUGUCCCCACAGCCGGGUCCUGUCCCCCUUGAGGGCUUCCUGGUAGCACCAAUACCAUAGCUGUAACAGCUGUGUCUUUCUGUGGGUGGCGUUAUGGAACCGCUCUGGACAAAGGUUCGAGGGCCUCUCCGUAGGGUCCAGAGCUGGCCCUCUGGACUCUGCCACCCUGCACCUGAGGUUGGGAGUCCUUGGUCCAUGCCUCAGUCUCCGUGGAUGAGUGGGGCCCCGCUGGUGGUUAUGGUUCUGGGGCGCUGGUCCCUGGAGGUAGGCCUGGGAGGAAUCCAGGAGGCUGGCUGCAUCUUUGAGCAUCUGUCCCUGUUCUGGGAGCCUGUACCCAGUCUCCUGGGUCACCAGGCUGGGAGGGGGACACUGGCCCUCCUUGCCCAGACCUCAUCUGCCUUCUUCUGAGCUAUUCAAGUCAUAUCAGAUCUAAUGAAGGAGGCGAGGUUUCAGGAAGUAAGAGAGGCCCCUCUAGCAUAGCUUGCCAUCCCACCAUACCUCCUCUGCCCCCUGGGAGGUGGGGAGAAAGGAUGGGAGAGCCUAAGCCUCUUGCCUCCCCUUUCCUGCACCCUGGCUAGGGAUCAGGGAUGGAACUGGACCUGCGUUCUGGUGUGGGGGGUGGGUGGACAUUGGCAUUGGGGCCAACAUUGACUAGGGGUGAUGGCUGCCCAGGGACAGGCAGAAAAACACAGGUCUUUGGAACCACUGGGUGAGCAGGGCAGGUGAAGGCCUCCAUGGAGGAAUCACUGAGCUGGUAGGAACUUCUGCGGUUCUCUUUGGCUUUGGGGAAGUGGCUACCACCCCUGGGCAACCACAUAUCAGUUUCUUCCUCUCUGCUCAGGGAAGAGAAUGCCACAGUCCCCAACAGGGCUGUUGGAGAAAGUUCGGCAAGGCAGCUCCAGAAUCAGAGACUUACAAUGUCUCGUCCAACCUGUCCCUCCUGCCCUGGGACAAGGUCCUGCCUCAAAUGGGCCUUAAGCACCUCCCCUUCUGACUCAAAGUCUUGUUGCAGUGGGGCUAGGGAGGAAAGUGUUUCCUUCCUUCUGGCCUGGUACCAAGGGUGUGACUUUAACCAUUGUUCUAAGUAAGGUGACCCCACAGAGGGAUAAGCAUCCCAGGUGCCAGGGAGCUCUCGAUUGCUAGAGAGGAAGGGGGUCCAAGCAGAAAUUGACAACUCCAUGCUCAGGAGGCUGCAUAGCUGAGUCCCCUUCCACUCAACACUGUCACUCCUUGUGGAGGUCUUGGUGCAGCCUCAUUGUCACAAAGGUCAUCAAUGUCUCACUUUACAAAAAUAUGCCGUUAAGCACCACAGCUGGCCUGGCCCAGGUACAGGGGAAGGCCUCGUUGUCCAGGAUGCCUCUCAGACUCCCCAGCACUCAGACCUCACUUGCCCAUGUGUCAGGGCCUAGAAGCCCUACAGUGAACCUAGAGUCCAUCUUGAGCCAUUAACUUUAUCAGCCAAUGGGGGUAAAGAUGUGAGCUGGUAAGUCAUUUAAAACUUGGCAUAUGGGGGCAGCCUGGGUGGCU